UACGAAGGGGGCUAGCGUUGCUCGGAAUUACUGGGCGUAAAGCGUGCGCAGGCGGUUUUGUAAGACUGUCGUGAAAUCCCCGGGCUCAACCUGGGAAUGGCGAUGGUGACUGCAAGGCUAGAGUUUGGCAGAGGGGGGUAGAAUUCCACGUGUAGCAGUGAAAUGCGUAGAUAUGUGGAGGAACACCGAUGGCGAAGGCAGCCCCCUGGGUCAAAACUGACGCUCAUGCACGAAAGCGUGGGGAGCAAACAGG
rnacentral:rRNA from 1 species